AUACGAAGGGGGCUAGCGUUGCUCGGAAUCGACUGGGCGUAAAGCGCACGUAAGCGGCUUUUUAAGUCAGGGGUGAAAUCCUGGAGCUCAACUCCAGAACUGCCUCUGAUACUGAGAAGCUUGAGUUCGGGAGAGGUGAGUGGAACUGCGAGUGUAGAGGUGAAAUUCGUAGAUAUUCGCAAGAACACCAGUGGCGAAGGCGGCUCACUGGCCCGAGACUGACGCUGAGGUGCGAAAGCGUGGGGAGC
rnacentral:rRNA from 1 species